ensembl:antisense 2810001G20Rik RIKEN cDNA 2810001G20 gene
AGAUGUAGACUAGGUGAGCACUCUGCCCGGGAGGGACAGAUCGUCGGAGCCCGCGGGCGGAAGGCGAGUCGUGGCGGGGUUAGGGCUCUGGAGUCCGGCCCCGCCCGGCAGUCCCCUGAGCUUGAAAGAAUUGAAUGCCUCCUCAGUUGUCACCCAGGCUGAUCUUGCGCAGGCUGUUGGCUUCUCGUGGAGUUUGCGAUGAGGUGAGAUCUCUGUGGUUCACCUCAGGUGCUGAUCAGGGGCCACUGAGACAGGAGUUUGUGUAAGAGCACGCACUGUGUCUCUGCAGCAAGAACUGGUCAUGGUGAGCAUCAUCCCGAUAGGGAUAAGGUAGAAAGCACUAUGGAAUGAGAGUUUUUGGACAGUGACGUAGGAUGGCUGUGUUGCCCAGACAGGAGAAGAAAAGGAAGAACCUGUUGCUUAAGUUCCGGAGACAUUUUUGUUGCUGUUGUUUACUGAGCGUGUGAAGGGAGGUCUUUCUGCCUUGCCUGUUUUAUUUUCAGGAAGCAGGGCUGGGAAUGAACCCUGGCACUGAGACAGCCAUCCUGAAGCUAGAACAAGCCGGAAGAACAAAUAAACCCCAGUUUCUUGUACCCUGGCUGAUGUAUUUAGUGAAUGGCCUAGGGGGCUGAACAACCUGCAUUAAAGCUUGCUGCAGACACAUGAGACAGAGUCAACUGAGCUUGGGGCAGCUCUCCAAGAUGGAUGCUGUGCCCAAUUUAAAAAGACAAAGUCAAAUAGGAUGGGGUUUGGGUUUGAACUUUUGUUUUUUUUUUUUCAGAUGACCUCAGUAUGUAGCCUACGACUUUUUUUAAACUGGUGUUUCUCCUGCCUGGGCCCUCUGAAUACUAGAAAUGCAGGUAUGCACCAUGGGGUUGAGGUGUUAACCAUUUCUAAAAUAAAAUAAACCUGUAAGGCUUUAAGUAACACUAAAAAUAAAAAUAAAAGGGCAUUUUGUACA